rnacentral:rRNA from 1 species
UACGUAGGGGGCUAGCGUUGUCCGGUUUUAUUAGGCGUAAAGAGCGUGUAGGCGGCCUGACAGGUCUGCUGUGAAAACUCGAGGCUCAACCUCGAGAUGUCGGCGGAAACCGUCUGGCUAGAGUCCGGAAGAGGAGAGUGGAAUUCCUGGUGUAGCGGUGAAAUGCGCAGAUAUCAGGAAGAACACCUAUGGCGAAGGCAGCUCUCUGGGACGGUACUGACGCUGAGACGCGAAAGCGUGGGGAGCGAACAGG